UUGAAUGAAGAAUAAUUUCACAAUUUUCUUCAGAUAUUAUGCGGCCAAAAAACAUGCCAGCUUGGAGGGGUGUUGCCUACCACCACCAGAAAAAGAAGACAUUCGUCAGCGUAUGGACCAAGCUAAAUUGGAUAACUUUCUUGAAUUCAUUACAUCUUCUCACAUAGUGAAAGAUCUUCCAUUUGGACAGAAGAAAAUUCAAACUUCAAAGGGAAAGACAAUAUAGAGACACCAAACAUUAUUAGGUGCAUGGCACCACAAGCAAUUAUCAGUCAGUACCAUCAGUAUUGCAAAGAGCAAGAAAUAGAGGCACUUGGAACAAGUACAAUGUUUAGAAUUCUGCAAAACUGCACUGCAACCAUUCGCAAAUCUCUAGAAGGUCUAGACUAUUAUCUUGCUGAAGGUGGGAGAAGCUUUUAAGUUCUUAUUGACAUUGUCAACAAAUUGGAAAAAGAUGAGGAGAGUGCAAAGCACUUAAAAGAUGUUUUACUUGCUGUCAAAAGAUAUCUAAAAACUGAUUACAAGAUUCAUGUGGCAGAAACAUCAGAUGUUGCAGAUCACUGCCGCAGUUAUGCUCUUAGUGACAACUCUAAACUGUUUUCUAUACAAUGCAAUCACAAUCACAACCAUUUUUGUGAGGCCUGCGAACAGAUUAAAGAAGUUCUAGGUGAUGUCAAACAACUGGGAAAUAAUUUUGAUUUCAGUGCAAGGGAAGACAAAGAUGACACCAUAUUUCGACUUAAGUAUGCUGAACUAGGUAUUUCCUGUUGGAAAUCUCAUCUUUUGAGAUCAAAAAAUCAAGAAGAGGCAAAACAGGAGGUAUUGAGGACGUUAUCAAUUUCUAAUGCUUGUAUUGUCUUGGACUGGGCAAUGAAAUUUCUUCCCCACAAGUACAGAGAGGACAGCCAGGAUUGGUUUGGGAAGAGAGGGAUAUCUUGGCAUAUAGCAGUAGUAUUUACUAAAAGUGAGGACAUUUUGAAAGCUUUGAACUAUGUGCAUAUAUUUGAAGGACAAAUCUGCCAAGAUGCCAGUGUUACAACAGCAAUAAUUUUAGAUGUGGUACACAAUCUCCAUCGACAGUAUCCAAAUAUCACCACCAUCCAUCUAUGGUCUGAUAAUGCAGGAUGUUAUAAGAGUUCUGAAACAGUAUCAACAAUCUACCAUCACUGUAAGACUGUCCAUUCAUUUGAUUUUUGUGAGGCACAAGAUGGCAAGGGAGCAUGCGACAGAACAGCUGCUGUAAUUAAAGCAAACAAUGAAGAUUUGUCAAUGAAGGUCAUGACGUAGUGACUGCACGGCAAAUGAAGCAGGCAAUAGAGAAAACCAGUAAGAAUGUACAAUAUAAGGUGAAAGUGGUUGAACUGGAAACUACAGAGCGACAGAAGUUCAGACCAAUCCCGAGCAUUUCCACAUUGAACAAUUUCAAGUUCCUUGAGGAGGGAGUACAAGUAUGGAGAGAGUAUGGCAUUGGAGAUGGUAUGUCCAUUCUUGGGAAAAAUUUGAGUAACAUCCAGCCAACAUCAUUGAAAAUAUUGGAAGGAGAUAGUGCUGAAGUUCACUUUCACACAGUUCUGAAACCUUUAAGCAAGGAGGAACAACACAUGUUCACAUGUACCCAGGAAGGUUGAGUUUCAACUUUCAGCACAUCUGAGGAACAUGAUCACCAUCUUAUUGUUGGCAGCUGUGACUUAAAGUUAGAAAAGGAAAGGAGUAAUGACUUAGUAAUUCAGAAGUAUGCCAAGAUACUGCAGAAAGAGAACAGAGAACAAUAUACACUUUCCUGUAUUAGUAAAGAAAGUACUGAUGACAGUAUUUUGAAAAAAGGAUGGGGGCUAAAAGAAGAAAGAAAGUGUGUUCGAUUCACUAAGAAGCAGAAAUCUUAUCUUGAGGACAAAUUCAAGGCAGGUUUAAAGUCUGGAAGAAAAGAAGAUCCUGUCUCAGUUUCUGAAGAAAUGCGAAUGUUGAAAAAUGAAGAUGGAGAAAGAGUAUUUGCAUUAGAAGAACUCUUGUCAGCACAGCAAAUUGCUGGAUUUUUUUCAAGGAUGUGCAAGAAGUCUCAGUCUGCAAUCAAUGAGUCUUUAUUUGACAGCAUCCAUGCAAUACUUUAACUUUCAUUUUAGUAUUCUUUGCAUAUUGCAGUGUCGGUAGCAUUCAAUGUAU